CAUUCACGGAGAGUUUGAUCCUGGCUCAGGACGAACGCUGGCGGCGUGCUUAACACAUGCAAGUCGAACGAUGAACCGCUUUCGGGCGGGGAUUAGUGGCGAACGGGUGAGUAACACGUGGGCAAUCUGCCCUGCACUCUGGGACAAGCCCUGGAAACGGGGUCUAAUACCGGAUAUGACUGUCCAUCGCAUGGUGGAUGGUGUAAAGCUCCGGCGGUGCAGGAUGAGCCCGCGGCCUAUCAGCUUGUUGGUGAGGUAGUGGCUCACCAAGGCGACGAC
rnacentral:rRNA from 1 species